rnacentral:rRNA from 1 species
CCUACGGGGGACAGCAGUGGGGAAUAUUGCACAAUGGGCGAAAGCCUGAUGCAGCAACGCCGCGUGAGCGAUGAAGGCCUUCGGGUCGUAAAGCUCUGUCCUCAAGGAAGAUAAUGACGGUACUUGACGAGGAAUCCCCUGCUAACUACGUCCCAGCAGCCGCGGUAAUACGCAGGGGGCUAGCGUUAUCCGGAAUUACUGGGCGUAAAGGGUGCGUAGGUGGUUUCUUAAGUCAGAGGUAAAAGGCUACGGCUCAACCGUAGUGAGCCUUUGAAACUGGGGAGCUUGAGUGCAGGAGAGGAGAGUGGAAUUCGUAGUGUAGCGGUGAAAUGCGUAGAUAUUAGGAAGAACACCAGUUGCGAAGGCAGCUCUCUGGACUGUAACUGACGCUGAGGCACGAAAGCGUGGGGAGCGAACAGGAUUAGAUACCCUAGUAGUC